rnacentral:rRNA from 1 species
UUUAACUGAAGAGUUUGAUCAUGGCUCAGAUUGAACGCUGGCGGCAGGCUUAACACAUGCAAGUCGAGCGGGGGAAGGUAGCUUGCUACUGGACCUAGCGGCGGACGGGUGAGUAAUGCUUAGGAAUCUGCCUAUUAGUGGGGGACAACAUCUCGAAAGGGAUGCUAAUACCGCAUACGUCCUACGGGAGAAAGCAGGGGAUCUUCGGACCUUGCGCUAAUAGAUGAGCCUAAGUCGGAUUAGCUAGUUGGUGGGGUAAAGGCCUACCAAGGCGACGAUCUGUAGCGGGUCUGAGAGGAUGAUCCGCCACACUGGGACUGAGACACGGCCCAGACUCCUACGGGAGGCAGCAGUGGGGAAUAUUGGACAAUGGGGGG